GCCAGACUCCUACGGGAGGCAGCAGUGGGGAAUAUUGGGCAAUGGGCGCAAGCCUGACCCAGCAACGCCGCGUGAAGGAAGAAGGCUUUCGGGUUGUAAACUUCUUUUGUCAGGGAAGAGUAGAAGACGGUACCUGACGAAUAAGCCACGGCUAACUACGUGCCAGCAGCCGCGGUAAUACGUAGGUGGCAAGCGUUGUCCGGAUUUACUGGGUGUAAAGGGCGUGUAGCCGGGUUGACAAGUCAGAUGUGAAAUCCUGCGGCUUAACCGCAGAACUGCAUUUGAAACUGUUGAUCUUGAGUACUGGAGAGGCAGACGGAAUUCCUAGUGUAGCGGUGAAAUGCGUAGAUAUUAGGAGGAACACCAGUGGCGAAGGCGGCCUGCUGGGCUUUUACUGACGCUGAGGCUCGAAAGUGUGGGGAGCAAACAGGAUUAGAUACCCGGGUA
rnacentral:rRNA from 1 species